rnacentral:lncRNA from 1 species
UGAGCCAUGGAGUCAAAAUAGAUUAUUUUGGAGCUUUAAGAUUUGACUGCCCCACUGGAUUUUGGACUUGCAUGGGGCCUGUAGCCCCUUUGUUUUGGCCAAUUUCUCCCAUUUGGAAUGGGUGUAUUUACAUGAUGCCUGUACCCCAGGUCUAUCUAGGAAGUAACUAACUUGCUUUUGAUUUUACAGGUUCAUAGGCAGAAGGGACUUGCCUUGUCUCAGAUGAGACUUUGGACUGUGAACUUUUGAGUUAAUGCUGAAAUGAGUUAAGACUUUGGGAGACUGUUGAGAGGCAUGUUUGGUUUUGAAGUAUUAGGACAUAAGAUUUGAAACGGGUCAGGGGCCGAAUGAUAUGGUUUGGCUGUGUCCUCACUCAAAUCUCAUUUUUUUUUUUUUUUGUCUUUUCUGUUUGAGACAGAGACUUGCUCUGUUGUCCAGGCUGGAAUGUAGUGGGACAAUCACAGCUUACUGCAACCUCUGCCUCCUGGGUCCAAGCAAUUCUCCUACCUCAGCCCUACCAGUAGCUGGGAUUACAGAGUCUUAAAAUUUUUCUUUUGAGCUAUUGACAGCUUUUCACAAUUUAGUGUACUCCUAUGGACAGAAUUUAGAGCAUAUUUGUUUCUCUCUACCUGAUUUAUCAAGAAUUUGGAAAUUAUUUGUGAGUAUUCUUAACUUAUAACAAUACAAUUAUUUGCAUAAAUGCAAUAAGAAUCUGUUUUUGUUUGUAACAGGACACAAUUGAAGAAACUAGUUAUUUUAAUAAGGCUUUGACUGGAAGGGUGGGCUUUCCUGUGAGGAUUCAAAAUUUACUUAUGAAGCCAAUAAAGCCCUUGGAAAAACUGGCCUACAUAUUUUGUGUAUAGUGUAUGCACAGGGUUUCUGACCUGUAGUAAAUAAAGAAUGUCACUUUCCGACACAGAAGCCUCAGGUUUAUCUUGGAACCUGAAGAGGAGAGAAAAUUCACCCAACUUAAAUGAUAGCACAAAUCCAUGACUGAGCUCAGCUUUAAAAAGCCUUAUCUGAGAUUCGUUCUAUAGAACAAAGUUCCAUCAAGCCAAUUUAAAAGCCUAUGUAAAAGAUAAUUAUUCUUGCUGCACCGUUUACAAAUAAAUAAGUCAAGCAUAAUAAGCAAACCAGUCCUACCAUG